rnacentral:tRNA from 1 species
GGAAGGGUGCCGGAGUGGCCAAUCGGGAUGGUUUCGAAAACCAUAUCAGCUUUGCUGAUUCGCGAGUUCGAAUCUCGCCCCUUCCG